GCAGCGAAAUGCGAUACCUAGUGUGAAUUGCAGAAUUCCGCGAAUCAUCGAGUUUUUGAACGCAUAUUGCGCCCGAGGUUUGCGCCGAGGGCACGUCUGUCUGAGCGUCA
rnacentral:rRNA from 1 species